rnacentral:piRNA from 1 species
UGUCUGUGACACAGGACGGUGGGAAGCCUU